CCCACUCGCCGGAAGUCUAAGGUUUCCUGCACGACGUUAAUCGGAGCAGGGUGAGUCGGCCCCUAAGGUGAGGCAGAAAUGCGUAGCUGAUGGGAACCAGGUUAAUAUUCCUGGACUUUUUGUAAGUGGUGAAGCGGGGACGAAGAAGGCUAGGUGAGCCGGGCGAUGGUUGUCCUGGUACUUGCAUGUAGGCUGAGGGGUUAGGCAAAUCCGGCCCCUUGUUAAGGCUGAGGUGCGAAGUGGUUCUGACACUACGGUGUGCGGAGAAGUCAUUGAUGCCAAGCUUCCAGGAAAAGCCGCUAGCCAUAACUUACAGAGAACCGUACCGCAAACCGACACAGGUGGACAAGUAGAGAAUACUAAGGCGCUUGAGAGAACUCGGGUGAAGGAACUAGGCAAAAUGGUACCGUAACUUCGGGAGAAGGUACGCCCUUUUUGGUGAAUUGACAUGCUUAAUGAGCUGAAGAGGGCCGCAGAGACCAGGUGGCUGCGACUGUUUAUUAAAAACACAGCACUCUGCAAAUUCGUAAGAAGACGUAUAGGGUGUGACGCCUGCCCGGUGCCGGAAGGUUAAUUGAUGGGGUUAUCUUCGGAGAAGCUCUUGAUCGAAGCCCCGGUAAACGGCGGCCGUAACUAUAACGGUCCUAAGGUAGCGAAAUUCCUUGUCGGGUAAGUUCCGACCUGCACGAAUGGCGUAACGAUGGCCACACUGUCUCCACCCGAGACUCAGUGAAAUUGAAAUCGCUGUGAAGAUGCAGUGUACCCGCGGCUAGACGGAAAGACCCCGUGAACCUUUACUAUAGUUUUGCACUGGACUUUGAUGAUGACUGUGUAGGAUAGGUGGGAGGCUAUGAAGUGCGGACGCCAGUUCGCAUGGAGCCGCCGUUGAAAUACCACCCUGUUAUUAUUGAGGUUCUAACUUGGGCCAGUAAUCCUGGCUGAGGACAGUGUAUGAUGGGUAGUUUGACUGGGGCGGUCUCCUCCCAAAGAGUAACGGAGGAGCACAAAGGUACCCUCGGUACGGUCGGACAUCGUACCAAGAGUGUAAAGGCAAAAGGGUGCUUGACUGCGAGAGUGACGGCUCGAGCAGGAACGAAAGUUGGUCUUAGUGAUCCGGUGGUUCUGAAUGGAAGGGCCAUCGCUCAACGGAUAAAAGGUACUCCGGGGAUAACAGGCUGAUACCGCCCAAGAGUUCAUAUCGACGGCGGUGUUUGGCACCUCGAUGUCGGCUCAUCACAUCCUGGGGCUGAAGCAGGUCCCAAGGGUAUGGCUGUUCGCCAUUUAAAGUGGUACGCGAGCUGGGUUUAGAACGUCGUGAGACAGUUCGGUCCCUAUCUGCCGUGGGCGUAGGAAAAUUGAGAGGAGCUGCUCCUAGUACGAGAGGACCGGAGUGGACGAACCUCUGGUGUACCGGUUGUGACGCCAGUUGCAUUGCCGGGUAGCUAAGUUCGGACGGGAUAACCGCUGAAAGCAUCUAAGCGGGAAGCCUCCCUCAAGAUGAGUUUUCCCAUGAAGCCCGUUGAAGACUACGACGUUGAUAGGCGAGGUGUGGAAGCACAGUAAUGUGUGUAGCUAACUCGUACUAAUUGGCUGAUUGUCUUGACCAUA
rnacentral:rRNA from 1 species